UACGUAGGUCCCGAGCGUUGUCCGGAUUUAUUGGGCGUAAAGCGAGCGCAGGUGGUUUAUUAAGUCUGGUGUAAAAGGCAGUGGCUCAACCAUUGUAUGCAUUGGAAACUGGUAGACUUGAGUGCAGGAGAGGAGAGUGGAAUUCCAUGUGUAGCGGCGAAAUGCGUAGAUAUAUGGAGGAACACCGGUGGCGAAAGCGGCUCUCUGGCCUGUAACUGACACUGAGGCUCGAAAGCGUGGGGAGCAAACAAG
rnacentral:rRNA from 1 species